rnacentral:lncRNA from 1 species
GCAGCACAGUGCUGAGCUGCACUUCCCGAACAGCGGCGACAACUCCACAGCCCCUCUGGAACCUUCCGACCUCCCGCUCCGCCCCCGCGCAGCGGAACUGACGUAUACCUCCUCCUUCUCCUCGGGCGCACACCGCCCCCUUCGCUACUUCCGCUCUCCCAGAGGAAGGGGAGGGCCAAACCGCGGUGUUGCCAUGGUGACGAGAAGCUUGAUUGGCAGGGCGGGCUGCGGCAGCUGUUAGCGCCCGACGAAGCGGGGCUGUUACCUCAGUGGGUUUUCCUCGCCUCACGAGCUGCGCGUAAAAAUAGCAUGAAAUACAUUCAGUAGCAAAGCAGUUGGAAUCCAGGAGAAGUGGAGAGCCCUGUAUUCCUGGAGGAUUAACCUCAUCGAGCCACAAAGAUGAGACUAGUUCACAGAUGUACCAUGCAUCUCAGGAGCAAUUCGAAUCCAACAAGAUAAAACAGUUGUACUAAAAAUGUUCUUUGGAGGCUUGUCCCUAAUGAAAGUAAAGGCUUCAUUUCAGAGUAAUUUUGAGAAAACAGUUUCCACGUAUAAAUAUUACUCUUCCAAAUGCCACUGCUACAAACACUAACUGGGAUGUACAGAUGGAAGGUGAAAGUCAUUUACUGCCUUUAUAUCAUUACCAAAAGUGGAUAGUUCAGCCAUUCAUUGCCUUCUGAAACUUCUUUUGAGAGGUACAAGGUUCUCCAAGCACCUGCAGUGGUGCACAGUGUCACCUGUCCUUGCAAGCGAGGAACAAAGCUUUUCUUUCAGUGCUGCUGACCUGAGGUGGAGCGUGGGAAAGCUUCGUGGAGUCCCCUUCAUCUACAGAAAGACUGCUAAAAUGGAGGAGAGCAAAGAGCAGGCAAAGAAGUUUGUCUGCAGUUAAUUCAUAAAAGCAGUCCAUUUGUAGAUGACGUUGUGCCAUCUGCUCAUCCUCUGUGGGACCAGUAUAGAGCCCAUAACCUGUACCUCCAUUUGCAUGCUCUCUCUGUAACCUGCACCAGUGACAACAGGUACGUUUUAAAAGUUCCUGCUGAGAAAAAGCACCAGAUGAAGAGGAGGUAUCACUCCCUGAGCACAGGUCCAGAACAUAUUCUGCAGGUGAUGCAUGGCAACACAAAAUGUAGAACUGAGACUGCAGGCCCUGAUGCUCCCCUCAGCCCAACCAGACCCAUCCCACAAAGGAGGAACUAACGAUGUAGAGCACUAAUGAGGGUAAAUGCACGGGGA